rfam:Musca domestica strain aabys unplaced genomic scaffold Scaffold20170, whole genome shotgun sequence.
GGCAAGGGCACUCUGUGUCACAUUGAUAAAUUUACCACAAUUGGAACAAUUUGUAACCUUGCUGUAUUAAUUAUUUAUUUUAUGAUUUUACUCUAU